UACAGAGGUCUCGAGCGUUAGGCGGAAUCACUGGGCUUAAAGCGUGUGUAGGUGGAUCGUUAAGUACCUUGUGAAAUCCCACGGCUUAACCGUGGAACUGCUUGGUAUACUGGCGGUCUUGAGCCAGCUAGGGGCUACCGGAACAAAUGGUGGAGCGGUGAAAUGCGUAGAUAUCAUUUGGAACGCCAAUGGUGAAAACAGGUAGCUGGGGCUGGGUUGACACUGAGACACGAAAGCCAGGGGAGCAAACGGG
rnacentral:rRNA from 1 species